ensembl:snRNA U6 U6 spliceosomal RNA
UGAGUGCUCACUAUACUAAAAUUGGAACAAUAUAAAGAUUAGUAUGGCCCCUAUGCAAGGAUGACACCUAAAUUUGUGAAGUGUCCCGUAUUACG